CAGGUAGGGAUACCCGCUGAACUUAAGCAUAUCAAUAGGCCGGAGGAA
rnacentral:rRNA from 1 species